CCUACGGGUUGCACCAGUGGGGAAUAUUGCACAAUGGGGGAAACCCUGAUGCAGCAACGCCGCGUGAGUGAUGACGGCCUUCGGGUUGUAAAGCUCUGUCUUCAGGGACGAUAAUGACGGUACCUGAGGAGAAAGCCACGGCUAACUACGUGCCAGCAGCCGCGGUAAUACGUAGGUGGCGAGCGUUGUCCGGAUUUACUGGGCGUAAAGGGAGCGUAGGCGGAUUUCUAAGUGAGAUGUGAAAUACUCGGGCUUAACCUGAGUGCUGCAUUUCAAACUGGAAGUCUAGAGUGCAGGAGAGGAGAAGGGAAUUCCUAGUGUAGCGGUGAAAUGCGUAGAGAUUAGGAAGAACACCAGUGGCGAAGGCGCUUCUUUGGACUGUAACUGACGCUGAGGCUCGAAAGCGUGGGGAGCAAACAGGAUUAGAUACCCUUGUAGUC
rnacentral:rRNA from 1 species